GCCACAGCCAUAUCACCCUGUAGCCCAAGACUGGUUGCCCACUGAAGCUAAGCAGGGUUGAGCCUGGCCAGUACCUGGAUGGGCGACCUCCUGGGAAAAACUAGGUUGUUGCUGGAA
rnacentral:rRNA from 1 species